CGGGGGCUGGCGGGCGUGCUUACACAUGCAAGUCGAGCGGUAAGGCCCUUCGGGGUACACGAGCGGCGAACGGGUGAGUAACACGUGGGUGAUCUGCCUUGCACUCUGGGAUAAGCCUGGGAAACUGGGUCUAAUACCGGAUAUGAGCCUGAACUGCAUGGUUCGGGUUGGAAAGAUUUAUCGGUGCGAGAUGGGCCCGCGGCCUAUCAGCUUGUUGGUGAGGUAACGGCUCACCAAGGCGACGACGGGUAGCCGGCCUGAGAGGGCGACCGGCCACACUGGGACUGAGACACGGCCCAGACUCCUACGGGAGGCAGCAGUGGGGAAUAUUGCACAAUGGGCGAAAGCCUGAUGCAGCGACGCCGCGUGAGGGAUGACGGCCUUCGGGUUGUAAACCUCUUUCGACAGGGACGAAGCGCAAGUGAMSGUACYKGUAGAAGAAGCACCGGCUAACUACGUGCCAGCAGCCGCGGUAAUACGUAGGGUGCGAGCGUKKYCSGRAAUUACUGGGCGUAAAGAGCUUGUAGGCGGUCUGUCACGUCGGUCGUGAAAACUCACAGCUCAACUGUGGGCCUGCGGUCGAUACGGGCAGACUAGAGUACUUCAGGGGAGACUGGAAUUCCUGGUGUAGCGGUGAAAUGCGCAGAUAUCAGGAGGAACACCGGUGGCGAAGGCGGGUCUCUGGGAAGUAACUGACGCUGAGAAGCGAAAGCGUGGGUAGCGAACAGGAUUAGAUACCCUGGUAGUCCACGCCGUAAACGGUGGGUACUAGGUGUGGGUUUCCUUCCACGGGAUCCGUGCCGUAGCUAACGCAUUAAGUACCCCGCCUGGGGAGUACGGCCGCAAGGCUAAAACUCAAAGGAAUUKRMCGGGGGGCCCGCACAAGCGGGCGGAGCAUGUGGAUUAAUUYSRWKSMACGCGRAGAWCCUUWACCCUGGGUUUGRMMWWMMMCSGRAARSCSKWRRRRWWMSGCCCCCCCYUGUGGUCGGUGUACAGGUGKUGCAUGGCUGUCGUCAGCUCGUGUCGUGAGAUGUUGGGUUAAGUCCCGCAACGAGCGCAACCCUUAUCUUAUGUUGCCAGCGCGUAAUGGCGGGGACUCGUGAGAGACUGCCGGGGUCAACUCGGAGGAAGGUGGGGACGACGUCAAGUCAUCAUGCCCCUUAUGUCCAGGGCUUCACACAUGCUACAAUGGCCGGUACAGAGGGCUGCGAUACCGUGAGGUGGAGCGAAUCCCUUAAAGCCGGUCUCAGUUCGGAUCGGGGUCUGCAACUCGACCCCGUGAAGUUGGAGUCGCUAGUAAUCGCAGAUCAGCAACGCUGCGGUGAAUACGUUCCCGGGCCUUGUACACACCGCCCGUCACGUCAUGAAAGUCGGUAACACCCGAAGCCGGUGGCCUAACCCUUGUGGAGGGAGCCGUCGAAGGUGGAUUGCAGU
rnacentral:rRNA from 1 species